AUGGGAAAGAAGCAAUGUGACGUUCCGGAUGUUCCUUGCGGUAAUACUGUUGGAUUGAUUGGUCUGGAUGCAUGCAUAACAAAGAGUGCUACCCCGACAAGCGAGAAGGAGGUUGUUGCACGCCCAAUCAGAGCGAUGAAGCUCUCUGUAUGCCCUCUGAUGUUUGUUACAGUUAACUGCAAGGUUCCGUCUGAGUCUCCCAAACUUGUACAAGGUUUGAAGCGUCUGGCGAUGUCUGAUCAUGUGGUUCUGUGGAGCCAGGUAGAGCCUGGUACCUUUACGGUUGCUGGAGUGGGAGAGCUUCAUUUGGAAAUUUGCUUGAAGGAUCUACAGGAAGACUUUAUGGAUGGUGUUGAAGUUGUUGUUUCCAGUCCGCCUGUUGUUUCCUUCCGUGAGACUGUCCGCAAGUCUUGUGAUCCUGUGGAGAGGAAGUCCAGAAACAAGCAAAUCCAAUGCAGCUUGUCUGUGGUAGCCCGCCCCUUGGAUGAAAACCUAGUCGAGGCUAUUGAAGAUGGUCGCUUGGGUCCACGUACUGACCAUGCGGUACGAUCUGAGAUCCUUGCUAAGCAUGGUUGGGAUAAGGAUCUCGGUGAUAAGAUUUGGUGCUUUGGUCCUGAUGCUGUUGGCCCGAAUGUGAUUGUUAAUAGGUGCAAUAUAAUACAGAAUCUGGAGUUAGCGAAGAAAGUUAUCGUGGCUGGCUUUGAAAUGGUGGCAAAAGAAGGCGCAUUGGCAAAAGAAAAGUUGCAUGGCAUAUGCUUUGAGGUUCAUAAUGUUAAUAUACGUGCUGAUGAAGCUGUGAGAGGUACAACUGCUCAGCUCAAUGAGAUGGUUAGGACAGCACUUAUCGAGUCUCAGCUCGCCGCCAAGCCAAGGCUUCUCGAACCCACCUACAUUGUGGCGAUCCAGUGCCCUAAGAGUGCCCUCAGCACUAUCUACGGAAUUCUCCACCAGAGGAAUGGUUCUGUGUAUGAGGAGUUUGUGAGAGAAGGCACGAUGCUACACAUCCUGAAGGCUUACGUUCCAGUUUAUGAUUCCUUUGGCCUCUCCAAGGCAAUCAGUGCUGCAACAUCUAAGCUGGUCACCCCGCAGUGUAUUUUUGGAUAUUGGAGCGACAUGUGCUCUGAUCCUUUCCAGGCAAAUGCGCCAGCUGGGCAAAUGGUCUUGGAUAUCCGCAAGAGGAAGAAGAUGGGCAGGCCCUCUUUCCAGAAGUAG
rnacentral:rRNA from 1 species